AGAACCGAACUCCCAUUCUUGAGUUCUUCCUUCCCGUUCCCAAUUCUUCCAUGAUUUCUAGCGUAUUCCCUCUGAUCUCUUCUCCAGAUACUCGAGAUCGUAACAAUUGGUAUUCAGAGCCUUUUCCACCAAAAUUUUUCCCCAAUUCGUGAAUCCUUCAACCUAGCGCCAUCGUGGAGGUCGACCAAAUUUGAAGCUUUGAUGACGAAUUCCCUGGAAGAUCUAGCGAAGAAGUUAGACAGGUUUGACGUGGCGUUGACAAGCGUGCUGGACAAGCUCUCUGGGCUCGAAGCCUGGAAGUCCACCGCUAACGCGUCGAUGGACAAGCUCCUCGCCCAAUCGGAGCAGACUGCGUCACGCGUUCGCCGCCUGGAGUCCCCACCUCCACCUCCGCCACCUCCCAUGCCUCCACGGCCGGCAACAGCGCCGCCACAGCCGCAACCGCACGAGUCAACCCAUUCGACCUCAACACGGCUCCCCUACAGGAGGCGCACCCAUCUGCACCGUCCUGGGAGCGGCCCAGCAGGCACUGCGUCAUCAAUCACCACCGGGAUGCUAGCGGUGGGAUUCUGGGAUCCCAUCCGCCACACCCGGUCACGGGAAGGUGAUAUGGUUUACCUGAAGUUGCAACCACAUGUGCAGUCCUCAGUGGCUUCUCGAGGUAACCACAAACUUGCCUUUAAGUUCUUUGGCCCCUAUAAGAUUUUGCAGAAGGUGGUACAGUAGCAUACAAGCUGGAUCUCCAAGAUCAUGCACAGAACCACCCAGUGGUGCAUGUGUCCAACUCAAGCGGUGUGUUCCUUCCAACACUGAAGUUGCUCAAGACCUUUCUGUGGUCUGCUCUGAUCCUGCACAAGAAUUCCACCCACUACACAUAUUGGACCGCGCUCUGGUCGCCAAGGGAACGGCUUCAGCAUUUCGAGUGAAGGUACAGUGGUCUGGUCUGCCUUUAGCUUUCGCCACUUGGGAAGAUGAGGAUGAUCUCUGUCGCCGAUUUCCUUCAGCAGCUUGGGGACAAGCUGCAGCUUAAGGAGGAGGGAAUGUUAUGACCAGCAGGUGUAUUACUGAGCAUGUACAAGCAUAGGCUGUGUUGGGCUGCGCCCUGGGCCAGUCACGGGAUGUUAUCGGGCCAAGGCCCAUGUAAGCCGUCGGGCGUCAUCAGAACUCGGCAGCUCGUAUAUAGCUGGCCGCUGCAACUCUAACUGUCAUGAACGGAAUAGAACAGAGAACCGAACUCCCAUUCCUGAGUUCUUCCUUCCCUUUCCCAAUUCUUCCAUGAUUUCUAGCCUAUUCGCUCUGAUCUCUUCUCCAGAUACUCGAGACCGUAACAAACUGGUACAUAAAUAAAGUAUAUUGCCCAAUAGUUAUGUUUCUUGUA